rnacentral:rRNA from 1 species
CGGACGGGUGAGUAAUGUCUGGGAAACUGCCUGAUGGAGGGGGGUAACUACUGGAAACGGUAGCUAAUACCGCAUAACGUCGCAAGACCAAAGAGGGGGACCUUAGGGCCUCUUGCCAUCGGAUGUGCCCAGAUGGGAUUAGCUAGUAGGUAGGGUAACGGCUCACCUAGGCGACGAUCCCUAGCUGGUCUGAGAGGAUGACCAGCCACACUGGAACUGAGACACGGUCCAG